CCUACGGGGGGCAGCAGUGGGGAAUAUUGCGCAAUGGGGGAAACCCUGAUGCAGCGACGCCGCGUGAGUGAAGAAGUAAUUCGUUACGUAAAGCUCUAUCAGCAGGGAAGAAAAUGACGGUACCUGAGUAAUAAGCCCCGGCUAACUACGUACCAGCAGCCGCGGUAUUACGUAGGGGGCAAGCGUUAUCCGGAUUUACUGGGUGUAAAGUGGGCGUAGACGGUGCGCCAAGUCUGGAGUGAAAUGCCGCCGCUUAACUGGGGAACUGCUUUGGAGACUGGCGAACUAGAGUGCGGGAGGGGUAAGCGGAAUUCCUAGUGUAGCGGUGAAAUGCGUAGAUAUUAGGAGGAACACCGGUGGCGAAGGCGGCUUACUGGACCGUAACUGACGUUGAGGCUCGAAAGCGUGGGGAGCAAACAGGAUUAGAUACCCGUGUAGUC
rnacentral:rRNA from 1 species